UUUACCAAAAAAAAAAAAAAAGUAACGUUUACCGUUCUUUUUUGUUGCCUUUUUAAAUGCACGUUCUAGUUUUGUUGCUGCCUGCGUUUGACAGGUGCGCAAGUGAGAUGGUCGCAGGCUCUCACUCUCUCUAAGUGUGUAUAUGUGUGGGUGUUUGUUGGGAUGUGUGUGCUUGUGAGAGCAACAGCUGAUCGUGGUGGGAGUGCAGUGUGACGGCUUCUUAUUGUUGUUCUUGCUGCUAGUUCCGGCAGACAUGCCAUACAAGUCCGCGCUUUGUUUGAUUGUACGGGCACGCACGUCUGGCGCUUUAGAUACUAGCAGCGCGCUGGCUUUGGGCAAAUGUUUUGCAUUAACAACAAUGAGAACCGUUUAAAACAAACACAAUAUGUUUAAAAACUUAUUAAGAUUGCGUUGAGGCAAAAAAAAACUUUAACGGAGACGACGACGGCGACACACGAAAAAAUACAAGCGAGUCGUUUGCCCUGGCACUCAUACACACACACGGACGCACGUAUGCAUGCUGCAAUAGGGUUGUCUCGCUUGCACUAUUGUUGGCUCUACAGCGAGCACGUUGCUAGCCUGACUGUUUUAGCGUUUUCACACUAACACAAGCAUGCCAACAAGUCUAUACGUAUACGACAACGAAGCACACAUAAAGCGAGACGAAAAAAGUAGCCACCACUAGGGGCACUGUGGCCGAAGUAGUCUCUUUGGCUUUUUGUUACGCACAAUUUUCACAAAUUUCACGCGCACGUUGCAUAUUUGUACAAAUCCAACACCAACUUACAUUUUGCGUUUCUUUUUAUUGUAUUUCUUUGCAAUUUUAAAUUAAUGAUUGAAUUUCUUUUAUAAAUUAUUUGCUAGAAUAAA